GGGCCUGUAGCUCAGUUGGUUAGAGCGCACCCCUGAUAAGGGUGAGGUCGUUGGUUCGAAUCCAACCAGGCCCACCA
rnacentral:tRNA from 1 species